AAGCAAAGAGGGUUGUAAGGUAAUUAUCUUUGGGAUUAGCAUUAAUUGAAGAUCAUGGCAACCCCAGCUCAAAUUCCACCUAAUAAAUUUACAUAUAUAUGGUCGAAUGCUUGGAACAACCAGCCUGAUGGGUCAAAAUAUUAUUCUGGGGGAAGCUACUUCUUUAUUGGCCAACGCGGAAAGGUCCGAGAGCUUGGUCUUAACCCAAACAGCCCAUAUAAAUUUUCCUAUACAUUCAAGUAUAACCUAGAUGAUCCCAUCCAAGUUACUCUACUUGUUAAGGGCAAUGGUCUGUACACA